rnacentral:tRNA from 1 species
UGCCUAAUGGCUGAGUAAAAGCGAUAGACUGUAGAUCUAUUUACGAAAUAUAUUUUCUUAGGUUA